GGUUAAGCGACUAAGCGUACACGGUGGAUGCCCUGGCAGUCAGAGGCGAUGAAGGACGUGCUAAUCUGCGAAAAGCGCCGGCGAGGUGAUAUGAACCUUUGACCCGGCGAUGUCCGAAUGGGGAAACCCAGUGUGAUUCGUCACACUAUCGUUAACUGAAUACAUAGGUUAACGAGGCGAACCGGGGGAACUGAAACAUCUAAGUACCCCGAGGAAAAGAAAUCAACCGAGAUUCCCCCAGUAGCGGCGAGCGAACGGGGAGCAGCCCAGAGUCUGAAUCAGCUUGUGUGUUAGUGGAACGGUCUGGAAAGUCCGGCGAUACAGGGUGACAGCCCCGUACACGAAAGCACACAGGUUGUGAACUCGAAGAGUAGGGCGGGACACGUGGUAUCCUGUCUGAAUAUGGGGGACCAUCCUCCAAGGCUAAAUACUCCUGACUGACCGAUAGUGAACCAGUACCGUGAGGGAAAGGCGAAAAGAACCCCGGCGAGGGGAGUGAAAAAGAACCUGAAACCGUGUACGUACAAGCAGUGGGAGCACCUUCGUGGUGUGACUGCGUACCUUUUGUAUAAUGGGUCAGCGACUUAUAUUCUGUAGCAAGGUUAACCGUAUAGGGGAGCCGAAGGGAAACCGAGUCUUAACUGGGCGUUAAGUUGCAGGGUAUAGACCCGAAACCCGGUGAUCUAGCCAUGGGCAGGUUGAAGGUUGGGUAACACUAACUGGAGGACCGAACCGACUAAUGUUGAAAAAUUAGCGGAUGACUUGUGGCUGGGGGUGAAAGGCCAAUCAAACCGGGAGAUAGCUGGUUCUCCCCGAAAGCUAUUUAGGUAGCGCCUCGUGAACUCAUCUUCGGGGGUAGAGCACUGUUUCGGCUAGGGGCCAUCCCGGCUUACCAACCCGAUGCAAACUACGAAUACCGAAGAAUGUUAUCACGGGAGACACACGGCGGGUGCUAACGUCCGUCGUGAAGAGGGAAACAACCCAGACCGCCAGCUAAGGUCCCAAAGUCAUGGUUAAGUGGGAAACGAUGUGGGAAGGCACAGACAGCCAGGAUGUUGGCUUAGAAGCAGCCAUCAUUUAAAGAAAGCGUAAUAGCUCACUGGUCGAGUCGGCCUGCGCGGAAGAUGUAACGGGGCUAAACCAUGCACCGAAGCUGCGGCAGCGACGCUUAUGCGUUGUUGGGUAGGGGAGCGUUCUGUAAGCCGUUGAAGGUGUGCUGUGAGGCAUGCUGGAGGUAUCAGAAGUGCGAAUGCUGACAUAAGUAACGAUAAAGCGGGUGAAAAGCCCGCUCGCCGGAAGACCAAGGGUUCCUGUCCAACGUUAAUCGGGGCAGGGUGAGUCGACCCCUAAGGCGAGGCCGAAAGGCGUAGUCGAUGGGAAACAGGUUAAUAUUCCUGUACUUGGUGUUACUGCGAAGGGGGACGGAGAAGGCUAUGUUAGCCGGGCGACGGUUGUCCCGGUUUAAGCAUGUAGGCGGAACGAUUAGGUAAAUCCGGUCGUUUAUUAACGCUGAGGUGUGAUGACGAGGCACUACGGUGCUGAAGUAACAAAUGCCCUGCUUCCAGGAAAAGCCUCUAAGCAUCAGGUAACAUCAAAUCGUACCCCAAACCGACACAGGUGGUCAGGUAGAGAAUACCAAGGCGCUUGAGAGAACUCGGGUGAAGGAACUAGGCAAAAUGGUGCCGUAACUUCGGGAGAAGGCACGCUGAUAUGUAGGUGAAGCCCCUGCGGGUGGAGCUGAAAUCAGUCGAAGAUACCAGCUGGCUGCAACUGUUUAUUAAAAACACAGCACUGUGCAAACACGAAAGUGGACGUAUACGGUGUGACGCCUGCCCGGUGCCGGAAGGUUAAUUGAUGGGGUUAGCGGCAACGCGAAGCUCUUGAUCGAAGCCCCGGUAAACGGCGGCCGUAACUAUAACGGUCCUAAGGUAGCGAAAUUCCUUGUCGGGUAAGUUCCGACCUGCACGAAUGGCGUAAUGAUGGCCAGGCUGUCUCCACCCGAGACUCAGUGAAAUUGAACUCGCUGUGAAGAUGCAGUGUACCCGCGGCAAGACGGAAAGACCCCGUGAACCUUUACUAUAGCUUGACACUGAACACUGGUCCUUGAUGUGUAGGAUAGGUGGGAGGCUUUGAAGCGUGGACGCCAGUCUGCGUGGAGCCGACCUUGAAAUACCACCCUUUAAUGGCUGGUGUUCUAACGUAGACCCGUAAUCCGGGUUGCGGACAGUGUCUGGUGGGUAGUUUGACUGGGGCGGUCUCCUCCCAAAGAGUAACGGAGGAGCACGAAGGUUAGCUAAUCCUGGUCGGACAUCAGGAGGUUAGUGCAAUGGCAUAAGCUAGCUUGACUGCGAGAGUGACGGCUCGAGCAGGUGCGAAAGCAGGUCAUAGUGAUCCGGUGGUUCUGAAUGGAAGGGCCAUCGCUCAACGGAUAAAAGGUACUCCGGGGAUAACAGGCUGAUACCGCCCAAGAGUUCAUAUCGACGGCGGUGUUUGGCACCUCGAUGUCGGCUCAUCACAUCCUGGGGCUGAAGUAGGUCCCAAGGGUAUGGCUGUUCGCCAUUUAAAGUGGUACGCGAGCUGGGUUUAGAACGUCGUGAGACAGUUCGGUCCCUAUCUGCCGUGGGCGCUGGAGAAUUGAGGGGGGCUGCUCCUAGUACGAGAGGACCGGAGUGGACGCAUCACUGGUGUUCGGGUUGUCAUGCCAAUGGCAUUGCCCGGUAGCUAAAUGCGGAAAAGAUAAGUGCUGAAAGCAUCUAAGCACGAAACUUGCCCCGAGAUGAGUUCUCCCUGACCCUUUAAGGGUCCUGAAGGAACGUUGAAGACUACGACGUUGAUAGGUCGGGUGUGUAAGCGCAGCGAUGCGUUGAGCUAACCGAUACUAAUGAACCGUGAGGCUUAACCUU
rnacentral:rRNA from 1 species